rnacentral:lncRNA from 1 species
UUUGGGUUUAGGGUUUACCCUUUGGGUUUUAGGUCUAGGAUUUGGGUUUAGGGUAUAGGUUUUGGGUUUAGGAUUUACGGUUUGGGUUUAGGAUUUACCGUUUGGACUUAUGGUUAAAAUUUUGGGUUUAGGGUAUAUAAUUUGGAUUUAAGGUUUAUGGUUUGGGUUUAGGGUCUAGGACUUGGGUUUAGGGUAUAGAGUUUAGGUUUAUAGUCUAGUUUUUGGGUUUAUGGUAUAUAAUUUGGGUUUAGAAUCUAUGAUUAGGGUAUAGGGUUUGGGUUUAGGGGUUUGGAUUUGGGUUUAAAAUUUAGGGUAUAGGGUUUAGAAUUUAAGAUUUAGGGUUUAGGUGGAAGCGUUAGCGUCGUUAAAAUUAGUCUUUUUAUUUUUUGUAGCUAUUUUUUAUUUAAUUUAGUAUUUUUUAAUUAAUAAUCUAUGUGGAAAUUUGAUUGGUCCUAAAUGGUGGGGUGAAUUUAUAGGUUCACCCUAGGGGGUGAACCUAAGUUCUGU